AUCUUCUUCCUGAUGCAAUUGCUGCAAUGAUUUUGAGGACGCCACAAGACCGCCUGAGAGACCUGCUUCGUCCUCAGCGACGGCGAGCCUUAUAGUGAUGACCAUCACGCAGAACUGUAAUGUAUUGUAUCGUGGAGCAUUGAUAUGACCAUCUCGACCUCGCAGCCACUUACGCGCUCCAGAUCUGUGUUCCCCUUUGCUACCGCAUUUGCUGUUCAUCUCAGAGGCUAAGGAAUUUGCUCCAAGGAUUGCAGAUUUUGGGGGAGGCGCAGAGCAGCCGCCUGCCGAGAAGCUUAGACAGGCUGCAGCUCUGGAUCACCACUUGAGAACGUGAGAUACGCAAAUAGCAAAUCUUCUACUAAAACUUCCGUACCAGGUAGACUAUAAAGUUUGGAGGACCUAAAAUAUAUGCCGGCUAAAUAUUACACACCUGUUCAUAAAGAUUUGUUGUAUCCGCCUUCCAUUUUUAUGGUAUGUUGUUUAGAUGGACAUUUUUGAUUUGUCGUGCUUACGUUUUAACAGGUAUGUUGCUUACAUGUAUGCUCUGCACUCCAAUUAAAUAACUCCCGGUGACUAAACAUGGUCUAAUGUUCAGCGUAUACCAUAGUGUGUACAUUUUAUGCGCAUUUUGACCGUAUCUCAGGAUGGUUUCAUAGGCUGUCCAUAUACAGGGCUCCCUAUAUAUGUAUACACUGCUUAGUAGUCCUUCUCUCAGGACUAAUUUCUGUUUUCCAGCCACAACUAGCAUGUUGUGCUAAGUAAGUUAGCCCUUUUGCUAAAGACAUUUGUACCUUAUUAUCUAAAUUAAGCUUAUCAGCAAAAAAUCUGUAUACUACUUUUGCUUGGACGAGGAAUUGGUUAAACAGAUAUAGGUACAUGCUUUGCUCCUCUUCAAACAGCUAUUUGACUGUGCACUGCAUACUGUAAGAAAUCAUCAAAACGAUAGAAGCAGAUGCUAAGAAAGGUGUUAUAAUAUGUAAGAAUGCAACCUGAAAGCCCUACAAGAACUGGUAAUAAAACCUAUACUAAAGGGGAUUAGUUUGACAUAAAUUACCAAUGUAUAUUCUUCUGGUAUAUAGUAAGCAGCAGGAGCAAGAUAAGCUUGACUGUGGAGCCCCUAGGGAAAUGCUAAUUCACAAAUUCAUUGAAGUUGGAUGUGAAAUAACUGAUAGUAUCAAUGUUCGGUAGUAACCUCUAAGUAUGCAUAUGAGAUAAGUGUGUGUGCAUCCCUAUUACUCCUGAUUUAGAAAACAUGAUUUCUGAUGUCAUAUUUUCUUGAAUAGUAUUGUCAUUGAGACACUGAUCUCAGAUGUAUGCGUACUCUGAUUGGAAAUUUGUUUGAACAAACAGUGUAUAUUUAUUAAAAUUGCUACUGUUCUUAUCAGCAUGGAUAAUAUUACAAGAUCAUAGAGGCAGUGUGAACUAAUCCCCGGAUUCGAAAAUGAAUGAUUCACUUUCUUUAUUUUGCAUGGACUGAAUUCUAUUGUUGGGCACAAAUAGAAAAAAAUUAACAUGUUCUAAAUUAAAAUAAGAAUGUUCAUUGAUGACAAAAGGUCAGAUACUUUUGAAUUGUUGUAGGCUCUGGAGUACUGAUGUUGUACAAACGGUAUGACAAAGCUAACUAACCUGGAAAAAAUGCACACAUGCAGCUAAAUAUACGUAUAUUUUUCCUUAAUUAUAGAAACAACUGAAAGAUUCUACAUUUGCCCCGAGUGUCCAUGUGAAAUUACAGUAUAGUUUUACAAGUAACAUUCUAAAUUCUAUGUAAUUGAACUAUUUCACCAUUUAGUUCUCAAAUGUUUGACAGAUUGUUCCCAGUGUUCAAAAAGAUUCUCUUAUGAUCUUCAUGUUUCAAAUUCUGUAUAGAAGCGCUUUUUAUGUCUGGUGUACUUAUUCUCUUAAAAAGAUGAUAGGAAUGUUUUCUCACUACAUAUUCUGUCCAAGCUGGCAGUUCAAUGCUGCUUAUAUAAAUGUAAAAUUGUAGUUUGAUUGUAGCUUUUUUUAGUUUAUUUAUGUUUGUCUCUACUUGAUCUGGAGGAAGAUAGUUAUACUACUGUAUAUUCAAAGAAAUGCAUUCAUUUGUUUUUAUAGUUUAUUAAUUGGCACUAUGUUAGAAUCCACUGGAAAAAAGUUGUGCUUAACGAUUUGUGAUGGGCUUUAUAUGAUCGACAAGAUAUAUAACUUUUUCCUUGCCAUUUUGAGUAGUAGACUGAUAAAGAUGUAGGCCAGAUGGAAAGGCUGAUUCCUAUGUGAUUUAGUUAGUUUGCUUGAUUGGCAUUUAUGUGAUUUUACACUUUUCAACUUAUGCUAUGCAGGUCUGUAGUUGAUGUUCUGGCUAGAAUAUAAUAUGAAAUUAUAUUGAACUUUUCUCAUUAUGAAUUACUCUCUAAGAUAGCAAGCUUAUACCUCCAUACUUUUGUAGGUGGAAAUUUUCUACGUAGAAACACCUUAGUACUGGAAGGUACAAGUAGUGUUACCUUUCUCUACCACCUUUCACCCUGCCUCCAUUAUUUAUGAAUAAAAGAAUAUUGGUUCAUCAAACAGUAAGUGGUAAAAUUUUCCCCUCAUUUUCUGGUCAAGUGAAGUUCUAAGGUCACUAAGUUGCUAUUUCUUGAGUUGUAUUCAAAACCUGAAUCCAUCUAAUUUUUUUGGGAGUAUGGUCAAUUGAUUUUCAUGAGUAUAAAUGUAGUCAAGCAUGUUAUAAUCGCCGUUUCUUUAUUUUCCGAUUAUGAUAUCGCUGUUUCCUGUGAUGGAUUCAGGGUGUACAACAUGCAGUCUAAUGACCCAACUAGACACGUAUCAAAUCAUUUUUGGGGCCAGUUAGCUCUUCUACUGUAUGUGAGUUGGGAUGCCAAUUUCUGUGCAAGCUUGUUUUCCUGUUUCCUUGGUAUCAGGUAGCUUAGAUCUCUCAAGGGUCAUUAGUAUUCAUUGGCACAUUUUAAGAAACCAACGGAAAUCUCCAUAUUUUCUAUUUCUUGGUUAUUCAUGUUUUGCUGUAGCCAGACUUGGAUUGUAGAGUUGAAAUGUCUAUAUAGUAUUGGGAAGCUAUUACUGGCAAAGAAGAAUUAGUUCCUUGAGGUCACUACCGUUACGCUAAAUACAUGUUAUUCUUUCUUCUAGGUUCAUCCCUGUGAGCCAACAAAUUAGGAGAUCAAUACAGCAGGGUAACAAACUCUUUAUCGAAAAAGUAACAAACUGAAACUACACCUGCUACCAACACACCAACAGGUUCCUUCACUCCACAGGAGCACCUCUUCUUUUUAUCUGCUUUUCUUUGGCAUGGAAACCUUUCCUAAUAUUUGAUAGGGACAUCUUUUUAAAUACUAUUUGGCAUGGAGAGCAUGCUAGACCUCAACCUUUGAGUUUAUAAUACUUUGCCAAAGCAGAGCCACGGUGAUUUUCUCUUAUAAAUUUAUCUUUGUGAGUUUUUUGCUGGUUAUACUUUUGAGUUUAUGAAUUAAUGUUUCUGUAUGGUAUUGCAAGAUUUGUGGUGUUUGGUUUUCCUAGUGGGCUUUUCAUUUCGACAAAUCGUUGGCUCAAAUGAUCAGCUACUAUUCUUAGAUUAUAUCAACCAAUGCAGACUAUCCAUUAUUUAUCUCUAUUCUUACUAAUUACAGUACAAGAAACUAGAGUUCAUAAUAUACAUGUACUUCAUGGUGAGCCAAUUGGUAAAAUAAUAGUAGUACAGAAUUAUCUGUAUUUACUUUGCCCUGCUAUCCCCCAACAUAGUUUGUUGUUUCUGGCAAAAUACAUAGGUUCAUAACUCGGCAUGUUAAAACAUGUAUGGACAUUGGACAAGCUUAGAUUAGGUAAUUUUUCAUUUUCGCUGGUGUGGCAAUUUGUGUAUUUUAUCUUACUCUCUCAGUUAGUUACUUCAGUAUAUCAGUUUUUUUUUUUCAGAUGUCUUUUAAUAGAUCUUUAAAGGAUGCAGUUACCUUGCGAUGGUCAGUUUCCUACCUGGGAGAAAGGAUGUUUUGAGGUUUAUGAACUCUUAUUGUCCCAGCUGGAGGUCAAACUAUCUGUAUCCGUAGAUGACUUGGCAGUUUGGCCAGUUUGUACUUGGCGUUCUUUUAUUAUGGUUUAGCAUGACAUGAGAGGAACUCGGCUAUUACUUUGAAUGCUACACGUUUCUUAAUGAAUAGGUGUAUCAUUUUUUUUAUAAUAAUUACUCACAAACUGGAUAAAUAAUUUUCAAGUUUGUAUAAUUGCAUGAAGAAGUUUUGCAGGGCUGCAGCCCUCUUUCUGUGUUAAAUGGUUUCUCCAUGUCAUUAGUUUUCUAAUACUCACCUCACAUGUACAACUUAUCACAGUAUAUCCUCCUUUCAACUCCG